AGAGUUUGAUCCUGGCUCAGGACGAACGCUGGCGGCGUGCCUUAACACAUGCAAGUCGAACGAGAAUCACUGGAAGGAGUUUUUCGGACAACGGAAGGUGAGGACAGUGGCGGACGGGUGAGUAACGCGUGAGGAACCUGCCUUUCAGAGGGGGACAACAGUUGGAAACGACUGCUAAUACCGCAUGAUGCAUAGAGAUCGCAUGGUUUUUAUGCCAAAGAUUUAUCGCUGAAAGAUGGCCUCGCGUCUGAUUAGCUUGUUGGUGAGGUAACGGCCCACCAAGGCGACGAUCAGUAGCCGGACUGAGAGGUUGACCGGCCACAUUGGGACUGAGAUACGGCCCAGACUCCUACGGGAGGCAGCAGUGGGGAAUAUUGGGCAAUGGGCGCAAGCCUGACCCAGCAACGCCGCGUGAAGGAAGAAGGCUUUCGGGUUGUAAACUUCUUUUGUCGGGGACGAGCAGAAGACGGUACCUGACGAAUAAGCCACGGCUAACUACGUGCCAGCAGCCGCGGUAAUACGUAGGUGGCAAGCGUUGUCCGGAUUUACUGGGUGUAAAGGGAGCGCAGGCGGAGGAUUAAGCGUGACGUGAAAUGUCCCGGCUCAACCGUGGAACUGCGUCGCGAACUGGUUUUCUUGAGUGAGUGCGACGUCGGCGGAAUUCGUGGUGUAGCGGUGAAAUGCUUAGAUAUCACGAAGAACCCCGAUUGCGAAGGCAGCCGACGAGUCCUUAACUGACGCUAAAGCUCGAAGGUGCGGGUAUCGAACAGGAUUAGAUACCCUGGUAGUCCGCACGGUAAACGAUGGAUGCCCGCUGUUUGCGAUAUACUGUGAGCGGCCAAGAGAAAUCGUUAAGCAUCCCACCUGGGGAGUACGCGGGGCAACGGUGAAACUCAAAGGAAAUGGAGGGGGGCCCGCACAGGCGGAGGAACAAGGGGGUUAAUUUGAGGAUAAGGCGCGAGGAACCUUACCCGGGCUUGAACUGCAGGCGUACGAUACAGAGAUGUUGAGGCCCUUCGGGGCGCCUGUGGAGGUGCUGCAUGGUUGUCGUCAGCUCGUGCCGUGAGGUGUCGGCUCAAGUGCCAUAACGAGCGCAACCCCCCUCUGUAGUUGCCAUCAGGUUUAGGCUGGGCACUCUACGGACACUGCCACCGCAAGGUGUGAGGAAGGUGGGGACGACGUCAAAUCAGCACGGCCCUUACGUCCGGGGCGACACACGUGUUACAAUGGCCGGUACAGCGAGCAGGCCCCCCGCAAGGUGGGCCCAAUCAACAAAGCCGGCCUCAGUUCGGACUGGGGUCUGCAACCCGACCCCACGAAGCUGGAUUCGCUAGUAAUCGCGCAUCAGCCAUGGCGCGGUGAAUACAUUCCCGGGCCUUGUACUCACCGCCCGUCA
rnacentral:rRNA from 1 species